AACAUAUACUGUGAUGUCCCUGAGGCACAGCAGUACAUCAGUCAGCAUAUCAGGAAGAACGAGGAUGAAAGCAUUGAUCGGAAAGAAGCCUUUAAUAAUGCUCAGGCUGACAUUCUCUCCUAUGAAGUAUUUUAUGGAAAUGAACCUAUGGAUGACAAAAGGACACAGCUCUUGACAAAGCUUUUCAGAAAUCUUGGGAGAGCAAAGUCUGAAUUAGAAUAUGCUGAAACAGAGAAGAUUGUGUUUGAUUGUAUCCAGACAGGGGAAAUCCCCAACUGGAUUAAAAGGGAUUGUCUUUAUGUAGCCUUGACAGCAGACCCAGGAAAAGAUACAUGCUCUGAGAAGACAAGCCACCUUCCAGACGAAGUCAUGAAGAAGAUUAAAUCACAAAUCAAGGUAAUAUACUAAAAUGA